rnacentral:rRNA from 1 species
AUUGAACGCUGGCGGCAGGCCUAACACAUGCAAGUCGAGCGAGCGGCGGACGGGUGAGUAAUGUAUGGGGAACUGCCUGAUAGAGGGGGAUAACUACUGGAAACGGUGGCUAAUACCGCAUACUAUCGGAUGAACCCAGAUGGGAUUAGCUAGUAGGUGGGGUAACGGCUCACCUAGGCGACGAUCACUAGCUGGUCUGUGAGGAUGAUCAGCAACACUGGUACGGAGACACGGCCCAUACUCCUACGGGAGGCAGCAGUGGGGAAUAUUGCAAAAUGGGCGCAAGCCUGAUGCAGCCAUGCCGCGUGUAUGAAGAAGGCCUUCGGGUUGUAAAGUACUUUCAGCGGGGAGGCGUUACCCGCAGAAGAAGCACCGGCUAACUCCGUGCCAGCAGCCGCGGUAAUUC